rnacentral:RNase_P_RNA from 1 species
ACAGUAGGUUGUCUUAUCGCCGCGUAUUUAUACGAGGAGGAAAGUCCGAGCACCAUAGAACAGCAUAGCGGAUAACAUCCGUCGCCUUAAACUAGUUUAAGGUAGGACAAGUGCAACAGAAAGCAAGUACAGUUCGGCUGUAGUGAAACCAGGUAAACUCUAUGCGGUACAAUGCCAUGUAUAUUGGAGACCUUUUAAUAGGUAAGAGUUGUUCGCUCAAUUCCAAGGGGUAGGCAGAUUGAGAUUGUUGGUAACAGCAAUUCUAGAUAAAUGAUAAGAAGCUUGAACUUGUUUCAAGUUACAGAACUCGGCUUAUAAACCUACUUUUAAU